UCAGCGCCAACCUUUUCCGACGCUUUGGGUUAGCGUUGGAAAAGCGAAACAAACAACGACGCUCUGAAGCGCCGUUAGAAGUUUAAGAAACAACGACGCUUAUAAGCGUCGUUAGAAAACUUAAAACCCCAACCCCUCGCUCGAUCGGCCGCCUCUCCUCAUUUCCUAUCUGCGAGCCCUAGCUGCGAGCGCGCCGACUUCCCCGCUGCCGUCGACCUCUCCUUCUGAGCCCCGAUCGGUGAUCGAAGACUCCGCUACUCCGCCACCGUCGACCUUGCCGUCGUCUGAGGUAAGCCUCCUACUCCUCCUUCUCUUCCUUCUCCUCCUCCUCCUCCUCCUCCUCCUCCUCCUCUUUGUUUUCUUCUUGUCUUUAACUCUCGCCCGGCCCCGUCUCCUCAUCCUCUGCCGGUCGAUGCCCUAGCUGCGCGCCGACAUCUCACCUCCAUCCCGAGCGAGCCGUAGCUACUCCGCCGCCGUCGACAUCGCCGUCGUCUGAGAUUACAAUAUGCCGCGAGGAAAACGUUUCAGAAAUAUUGAGUUUCAGCACACAUUCGUGGGAUCUACUUCUGAUCGUUCCCAGCAGCCCGAUGAGCCCCAUACUCAGUCCGGGUCCCAGUCUGAGCACGCCCCACCUGCAGAUCGUCCAGACACGGAU